rnacentral:rRNA from 1 species
UAGGGAAUCUUCCGCAAUGGGCGAAAGCCUGACGGAGCAACGCCGCGUGAGUGAUGAAGGUCUUCGGAUCGUAAAACUCUGUUAUUAGUGAAGAACAAAUGUGUAAGUAACUAUGCACGUCUUGACGGUACCUAAUCAGAAAGCCACGGCUAACUACGUGCCAGCAGCCGCGGUAAUACGUAGGUGGCAAGCGUUAUCCGGAAGUAUUGGGCGUAAAGCGCGCGUAGGCGGUUUUUUAAGUUUGAUCUGAAAGCCCACGGCUCAACCGUGGACGGUCAUUGGAAACUUGUUAACUUGAGUGCAGAAGAGGAAAGUGUAAUUCCAUGUGUAGCGGUGAAAUGCGCAGAGAUAUGGAAGAACACCAUUGGCGAGGGCGACUUUCUGGUCUGUAACUGACGCUGAUGUGCGAAAGCGUGGGGAUCAAACAGG